rnacentral:rRNA from 1 species
AGAGUUUGAUCCUGGCUCAGGAUGAACGCUAGCUACAGGCUUAACACAUGCAAGUCGAGGGGAAACGAUAUUGGAAGCUUGCUUCCGAUAGGCGUCGACCGGCGCACGGGUGAGUAACGCGUAUCCAACCUGCCCACCACUUGGGGAUAACCUUGCGAAAGUAAGACUAAUACCCAAUGAUAUCUCUAGAAGACAUCUGAAAGGGAUUAAAGAUUUAUCGGUGAUGGAUGGGGAUGCGUCUGAUUAGCUUGUUGGCGGGGUAACGGCCCACCAAGGCGACGAUCAGUAGGGGUUCUGAGAGGAAGGUCCCCCACAUUGGAACUGAGACACGGUCCAAACUCCUACGGGAGGCAGCAGUGAGGAAUAUUGGUCAAUGGGCGAGAGCCUGAACCAGCCAAGUAGCGUGCAGGAUGACGGCCCUAUGGGUUGUAAACUGCUUUUAUAAGGGAAUAAAGUGAGUCUCGUGAGACUUUUUGCAUGUACCUUAUGAAUAAGGACCGGCUAAUUCCGUGCCAGCAGCCGCGGUAAUACGGAAGGUCCGGGCGUUAUCCGGAUUUAUUGGGUUUAAAGGGAGCGUAGGCCGGAGAUUAAGCGUGUUGUGAAAUGUAGACGCUCAACGUCUGCACUGCAGCGCGAACUGGUUUCCUUGAGUACGCACAAAGUGGGCGGAAUUCGUGGUGUAGCGGUGAAAUGCUUAGAUAUCACGAAGAACUCCGAUUGCGAAGGCAGCUCACUGGAGCGCAACUGACGCUGAAGCUCGAAAGUGCGGGUAUCGAACAGGAUUAGAUACCCUGGUAGUCCGCACGGU